GAACGUAGGUGGCGAGCGUUGUCCGGAAUUACUGGGCGUAAAGGGCGUGUAGGCGGCCUUCUAAGUCAGGCGUGAAAGACCAGGGCUUAACCGUGGGAUUGCGUUUGAGACUGGAAGGCUUGAGGAUCGGAGAGGGCAGUGGAAUUUCCAGUGUAGCGGUGAAAUGCAUAGAUAUUGGGAAGAACACCAGUGGCGAAGGCGGCUGCCUGGACGACCCCUGACGCUGAGGCGCGAAAGCCAGGGUAGCAAACGGGAUUAGAUACCCCGGUAGUCCUGGCCGUAAACGAUGGGUACUAGGUGUGGGAGGUAUCGACCCCUUCCGUGCCGGAGUCAACACAAUAAGUACCCCGCCUGGGGAGUACGGCCGCAAGGUUGAA
rnacentral:rRNA from 1 species